UACGAAGGGGGCUAGCGUUGCUCGGAAUCACUGGGCGUAAAGGGUGCGUAGGCGGGUCUUUUAAGUCAGGGGUGAAAUCCUGGAGCUCAACUCCAGAACUGCCUUUGAUACUGAAGAUCUUGAGUUCGGGAGAGGUGAGUGGAACUGCGAGUGUAGAGGUGAAAUUCGUAGAUAUUAGGAAGAACACCGGUGGCGAAGGCGGCCCACUGGUCCGGUACUGACGGCUGAGGUGCGAAAGCGUGGGGAGCAAACAGG
rnacentral:rRNA from 1 species